rnacentral:pre_miRNA from 1 species
UUUGCAGUGUAAGUAGGCCCCAUGCGCUGUUUGGGACAUAUUUAGACUAAAA